rnacentral:lncRNA from 1 species
GAAGAUGGCUGCUCCCAAGACCUCUCUGGAGAGCUGAAUUUGCAGAUGGAAUCUAUUAGUUGCAUUUCUAAGCUUGAAAGAUCAUCUUCCUUUUACCUUGAAGGAGCAGAAGGCAACAUAAAGCAGCUACAAGAAUUAAUUCACGGAGAUAGUUGACAUUUUCGAGCUGACUACCUCUUAGAGAAAAUGAUGUCAUUCUCCAGCAGCCUAAUGACAGUCAUCAGCCUGAGAGGAC